CUUGGUGAGUAUAGCUAUGGGGGUACACCUAGUUACAUUCCGAACCUAGAAGUUAAGCCCAUAUACGCUGAUAGUACUUGGCUGGAAGCGGCCUGGGAGAGUAUGGAUUUGCCAAGC
rnacentral:rRNA from 2 species